AAGCAUUUUGUUGACACAUCUUCAUCACUUUGGAAUUUGAGCAACAACAUUUACCCCUUCUGAAACUCACCCAGAGGAAGUGGAUUUUCUGACGCAUAUGAAGAGUGAGAACUGUCUACAUCUAAGUUUUCUUUGAGAACAAUACCAGCUGAGUGGCUAUUUACAUUCCAGCUUCUUUUGAGAAUCUCUGAAGAUGAUUAAGUCAUUGUCAGCUGGCCCAGAACCAUAUCCUGCUCCACAAGCCUCGUCCUUGGCAAGAAGUUGCACCUGCCCAGAGAGAAAACCUUUUGAAACUGGCACAAAGGCACGGGAGAGACUGGCAGGGCCCCCUACUUGACGAUCUGGCUCAUCCAUCUGCACACUGACCACGCUAAGAGCUGUCUGCAGUGAUGGAAACCUUCUCUAGCUGUGCUGUCCUCUAUAGUGGCACUAGCCGCCUGUGGCUACUGAGCACUUCAACUGUGGCUGCAGAGACUAUGUUAAAUUGUAUUUAAUCAUAAUUAAUUUAAUUGUAAACAACCACAUGUGGCUAGUGGUUUCUGUACUGGGCACUGCAGGUGCACAUUUCCUACCUGGCCGUGCACAGUAGGCUCCAUAAGAGACUGAUUGUGCCUGGUUUGCUUAUAGGCUUAUCCUCAGCACCUGCACCAGCCUAGAAUAUGAUUGGCACUCUGUUAAUUAAAAGUUCCCAAGUAAAUGUA
rnacentral:lncRNA from 1 species